CCCACCCACCCCCGAUCCCAUCCCUCCCAAACCCUAACCCGCACCCGCACUCCUCCUUCCUCGGCUCCUCGCCGCCGCCACCUCCUCCCCGUCCCGCAGCAGCGCCCACCGUGUCACCUGCCGGCCGCCCUCGCGGGCGGCUGCGUCCACGGCGACGACGGAGGCCGCGGUCGGUCGUCUCCUUAUCCGCCUCUCGCCCUAACGCCAGACCCAAUCCGCCGUCGUCCUCUUCUCCAGUCGCACCGGCGACCUCCAACCUCAUCGCCGGCAGCCCCUCCCCUUUCCUCCUAGAUCGACUCGAGCUGCUCAUGUCGUGGCCAGAUCUGGCAGGAACUCCCUCCCUCCCACCUCGCUUCGCAUCCCGUUCCAUCUUCGCCCGAGAGCCAAGAAGCUUCCGGGCUCCGUCCAUUCCCCCACCUUUCCGCUGAAGAUGAAUCUGCAGCGGCGAGCGAUGGCUCUGACCCACCGGUUCCGGCUCCUCUUCCCUGCCGCCGUCCUGGCCGGGCUCGCCUCCGCGUCGCCCUCCCUGUCUGUGUCUGACAGCAUAUUCCAGGCCAGCACCGGAUCGACAUCGACGGGGAGGAGGAGCUUGCUGCGUAUUCCAUGCCUUUUUUUAGUUUGAAGUGAUGGUGUUGGAUAGCAUUCCUGUGUUACCUGACUUCGAAAUAGGUACUGAAUUCACAUGCUUGUUAACUGAAUAUAGCCUCUUGUUCUGCAACCUGCUUGACGAACUCACACUGUAAGGAUUGACAGGGCUGGUGUGGAGUUCCUGGGCUUAAUAAAAUAGAGUUCAAUGGUGAACUACCAAAGGAAAUUACAGAGUAUCAUUCAGUAGUACAUCAGUAGGAAACUUGGACAUCAGAUAGCUAUUAGGAGGAAACUUGGAUUCUGUAUGUCCAGAUAGCUAUCAUGCAAAUGUGCACCCUUAUUUCAAGCAUUUCCGGACGCAGGGAGUAUUUUUUAGAGAGUAUACUUCGCACCAUGUUCAGGACUAAGUAGUUGUUUUGCUUGUUUCCAUCUGAUACGCAUCCAUUUAUUUUUGUCCAUGCUUAUCAGACUGCCCUAUGAGCUUCGAGACCGAGAACUAAGUAGUUGUUUUGCUUGUUUUUGAGCUACUGCCACUUUGAGUUGUUGUAGAUGAUGAGUAGAUGAUCUGGUGUACAUUUUGUGGUCUGGAAACAAAAUUACUAAGCAAGGUGAAGCCCUGAGCUUGACUUCAUUGCUGUGCUCUAUUUAUAUUUAUUUACUGCUAUAACAUGGAUAUAUAUUCAGCUUUAAUGUUAGUUGUAGCGCUAACACAUCCAUAUGUGAAAAAAGGGUUCAGACAGAACUAUGCUUGCUAGUACUAUCUCUCUAAAACAUGCUUGCUGUGUUAUUGCUAGCGGUCAUAUACUCACGUGACAAUGCAUGUUUGCAGUUACUGAAACUUAACCUUGUUGGUUACCAGUGCAAUGACAACAAACUUGGCGCAUAAUUGUCAUAUGCUACUCUUGCUUGUUAAUUUGUGCUCAAUGAACUAUAUGAGCUCUCUUUACUGCAUCUUGUAUGCCCAUGCAUUAGCAUGAUAUAGUAUGGCACAUACACUAGCUACAAAAUUUGUACCUUCGAAGUAGUACUACAUGCAACCUCAUGGAACCUUCAUGCUCUGCCAUUGACCUACCAUAAAUAUAUACUACUACAACAGCCUGUUACUAUUACUAGUUUACUACAUGCCAUCUUUUUACUUUCAGUAGUGAUUUUGAUGCAUAAAUGCUGGUGAGAAUAAGAUGUUGUAGUCUAGAUAUAUGAUGCAAAGUAUGUUGUAUUUACACACUUGUAUCGAACUGCAGCAACCACACGGGCAAGUUGAGGUAGGGGAUAGAGAGGUUGAGCCACUCGGGUGCUGAUCAUGUACAGCGGCGCUCUUUCCAGCGUCGACCCGACCAAACAAAUGAUGCAAGGCUUCGCUGUUGAUGCUGCAUGUCUUCAUCAACUUAGUUGUUCCACACAGAGAGAUAUAAAUCCUUCACUUGUUCACUUUGUAAUUUGCAGAUUACUUCUUCCGUUAAUCACCUAGUGCUCCUGUUAGUGAGAUUCAUCUAGUUUUUUUGGUUCCAGCGUCCGACUAUGCUUUGUAAUUUUGGUUUCAUCCCCCACCACUCCAGCUAGCGUCUUCUUCACAUCAUAUUAUAUUUGCAGCUGCUGCUGCAUCAUGGAUUGGAUGGUCACCUACUAGCUAAGUAGCUUAGCUUGUUUUGCCAUCGAAUCAAUACUGUUUUACUUUGCUUGUUUCUCGUACUAGGUCUGUCAGUUACAGCAUAAACAAACAAAUUACUUAGCUCUCAACUCUGAAUACUUAGCUAGCUGAACCUGUUCUUUCUUUCUUUCUUCAGAGUUAUGACUUAUAUGGGUCAAGCUGCUGUUUUGCUGUGCUCGAGGAUACUAUUGCUGCCUGUAUACUGAUACAUUUGUAGGCUAUAGUGUGCUUGUAUGCUUAAGCUGAUCUGGCCCUCACCUCGUUCUUUCUCUCGCAGACCCGAAGGAGACCAUAUGCAAGGCACCUCCUUUUCAGUCGUGAGAGCGUCCAGGGGUCGUGGGUGCGGCUAAUGCAUAUGUUCGUGGUCGCGCUUGCCACUGCCCUCUCUUCAAGGGCAUGAGCUCCAGGCCUAUUUUUUUGGAGUGUGAAGCCGUGAAGCCAAGUGUGAAAGAUGUGAAGCCAAGUGUGAAGCAGUACUUAGCAAAGAGUUUUUGGUUCUGUACUUAGCAAAGAGUUUUUGGUUCUGAAGUGUGAAGCCAAGUGUAAAUUGUAAUAUUGUAAAAGUCUAAUGUAGUGUUAAUGAAUUAUAUCUGUUCUGUCCUAUUUGAAAUAAUGAUUAUGUAUGUUGAAAA